UACAGAGGGUGCGAGCGUUAAUCGGAAUUACUGGGCGUAAAGUGUGCGCAGGCGGCCGCGCAAGUCGAGUGUGAAAGCCCCGGGCUUAACUUGGGAAUUGCGCUCGAAACUACGUGGCUGGAGUGUGGCAGAGGAAGGUGGAAUUCCAGGUGUAGCGGUGAAAUGCGUAGAGAUCUGGAGGAACACCGGUGGCGAAGGCGGGUCUCUGGGCCGAUACUGACGCUGAGGAGCGAAAGCGUGGGGAGCGAACAGG
rnacentral:rRNA from 1 species